rnacentral:misc_RNA from 1 species
UUUCCGUAGGUGAACCUGCGGAAGGAUCAUUACAGUAGUCGCCUGGGUUGCCGCAAGGCCUCCCGGGUAACCUACCACCCUUUGUUUAUUACACUUUGUUGCUUUGGCAGGCCUGCCCUCGGGCUGCUGGCUCCGGCCGGCGAGCGCUCGCCAGAGGACCUAAACUCUGUUUGUCUAUACUGUCUGAGUACUAUAUAAUAGUUAAAACUUUCAACAACGGAUCUCUUGGUUCUG